rnacentral:tRNA from 1 species
GCCCCGGUGGCUUAGGGGUUAUAGCGCCACCUUGGUAAGGUGGAAAUCGAGGGUUCAAUUCCCUCCCGGGGCU